AUGGAGGUUGUUAGGGAUGGUGGUUUUGGAUACUUGCUUGAGCUAGAUGAUUGUUAUGUUCCACGGCCAUUCGCACAGUGGGUCGCGGACAACAUAUCCACAAAAGAUGAAGCAAUUGUACUUGGUGGGAAAUCAAUUCCUCUCAACCCUGAAGCCGUAUCAUUAGUUCUUGGUAUACCAGCAGGCGGAACAAAGAUCACAGUGCUAGACGAGGAGUUUGGCAAAGCGGAGUUUCUAUCACUGUUUGGGCUAACAGAUCUUCCAUCCAUAAGUUUCUUCGGGAACAAGAUUAUAAAUGAAGAGCUGCCUGACGACGUUUAUCUUCGCUGCUUCUUGAGUGUCGCACUAGCAACCUUCCUGUGUCCCACAUCCAACACAAAGCCAAGCACCAAAUAUUUGGGAGCACUUGUGGAUGUGUCAAAGUCAAAAGAUCUUGAUUGGUGCUCUUUUGUCCAUACAUGGAAUAUCGCCUAUGUCAAGAAGUACCAAACAGACAAGCUGAAGCAGAAACGGAUAACAACCACUUUGGGAGGCUGCAUUUAUCAGCUAGCAGUAUGCGCCUUCUUUUUGUUUUUAUGA
rnacentral:rRNA from 1 species